UUUGUUUGGUUAAUAUGAUGCGACGCUACAUUUGCUUACAAUGACGCGCUGCAAAGGCGGGAACGUAAAGAAAAGCGGACUUUGCUGCUUGAAACGCAGACAACGGUGAUGAGGGGGGUGUUACCAGAACCUGUAAUAAAACAUUUGAAAAUGAAAAGAUUGUUUACAGAACCUGUAUUAAAACAUUUGAAAAUGAAAAGGUUGAUCACAAACAAAUCAAGACAGAAACCAUAUUGAUAGACAAUUACGACAAGACAAGAAUGGUCGCGGAACACGCCUCACAGGGCGGAGUCGGUACACAUUUGAAGCGCUCUUUCUCUGUUGGCUACCACGUGACCAGAAGUGAAAUAUAUAUCCCGAGAAGGACACCGGUGGUGGAACGAGAUGGUUUCGUAGUCUUGUUCAAUUGAAGCUUGGACGAAUCAUUGUUUAGUCUUAAUGGUGUGCGAGUGAUUUUAUUCGGUGGUCAUCAUGUCUGUUCGAGCCACCUCGGGGUGUUUGACUUGGCGCCGCUGGAGUCGUUUACGCGCACGUCAAAGUGCUAUGGCGGCCGCCUGCAGGCGAGAACGCAGCCAAGAAGCAGCAAAACAACAAGAUAAUUUACCGAAGAGGUCCAAGUUCCGACCGGCACCCAGCACCACGCACGACUGGAUCGGACCGCCCAGCCCGCUUUCCAACUUGCGACCCAUUGUCUUCCGCGUAGCCCCGGACGAGUCGGCGCUGGAGAGACUGCUGAGGAGCAUGCGACAGGACACCGAGGACUGGAACCAUAGAUUCUGGGCCGAGCAGAACCUCACCUUCGGCAAGGAAAAAGAUGCCUUUGUUGUGUCACAGCUGAAGGCAAAAGGCUUGACUGAGCGAGACCAGCAAGGUUGUCCCAAUCUUCAAGCAUCAAUCACAUAUUUUACGUCCACAAUAAAUGACAUUCAGUUUGUGUGUUGCAGGCCGCCGCCGCACUCUGACCGGUGAGGAAAUGUCCAUCUUCUACAAGGACUUCUUGGACAAAAACCGCCAGCGACACGUCAACUACAACAAGGAGUGGUACCGGCGCAACUUGUCAAUCACUCUGCUCAUGGCCCGUGUGGUGUUGCACAACCUGUGGAAGCGAGUCGGCAGCAGCGCAGCCGCGACGUGAUCGCAGACGCCUGCUUGUCAAUCAUCUGCUGCAAAGUUCCCUGGUGCGGCACGUGCACCCUUUGAGACAUAUUCACGAUACUCAAACACGAGUGUUUCCUAAUAAAGCAACCACAAAGAACCGGACAGUCGA